rnacentral:tRNA from 1 species
CAGAAUAUAGCUUAAUUUGGAAGAGCGACUGUAAAGUAGGUACUGGUUCGAGUCCAGUUAUUUUAU